AUAUGAUGAGAAUGCCAGUGUUGAUCUGUAUGACUUAAUUAAACACAGAUAUUGAUACCUUCAGAUAUGUACCUGUGAAAUCUUCAGUGUCACCGUUCAGCUAUUGUUCAAGAUCAGUGUCUGCAGCUUGCACAGUUUAGCAUAGAGGAGCUUUCUGAAUCAAUUUUUGUUACAUAUUUGCUGUUAUUGUAGGACACACAUGUAGAGAGCAGGUUAAUUUCCUGAAGUUCCCUGUCAACUUUGAUAGUGGCAUGGUUACUUUAGAAACACUAAAGUGAUGUCACCACUGUACUAGUCAAACGUUUUGUAUUUCAGAUUUAUAUCACAUUACAGGCUACUGGUCUUUAGCAGCCUUCAUAAAACUUUCAUAAAAGUUUCCAAAAAUGUUGUAUUUUGAUUUGAGCUGGCAUUAUUCAAACAUUAAGAAGUAGUACUAUAAGGCAACAUUUGACCUCUUUUCCAGUACUUUUUGAUUUUCUCUGUUACUAUGAAGUUUCCUUUUCCUAGAAAUUAGUUGGCUUAUUUUUGAUCAUCUUAUGUUUUUAAUGAAUUGUAGCUAUAAUGUUCUUUAUCUCAUGAAAAUGUCCAUUUUUAUAUAAUUCAUAUUUUUUACUGUCAACUAAGUGCAAUACCACAUACUCAUAUCACUUUCAUUAACAUACUUGUACUAUUUUCAUAAAACAUUAUAUAAACCAUUAUAUUUCAUAUAAACAGAAUUAAAUAAAUAUUUAAGAACA